rnacentral:rRNA from 1 species
GUGGGGAAUUUUGGACAAUGGGCGAAAGCCUGAUCCAGCCAUGCCGCGUGCAGGAUGAAGGCCUUCGGGUUGUAAACUGCUUUUGUACGGAACGAAACGGUCCGGGUUAAUACCCUGGGCUAAUGACGGUACCGUAAGAAUAAGCACCGGCUAACUACGUGCCAGCAGCCGCGGUAAUACGUAGGGUGCAAGCGUUAAUCGGAAUUACUGGGCGUAAAGCGUGCGCAGGCGGUUUUGUAAGACAGGCGUGAAAUCCCCGGGCUCCACCGGGGAAUUGCGCUUGUGACUGGAAGGCUGGAGUGCGGCAGAGGGGGAUGGAAUUCCGCGUGUAGCAGUGAAAUGCGUAGAUAUGCGGAGGAACACCGAUGGCGAAGGCAAUCCCCUGGGCCUGCACUGACGCUCAUGCACGAAAGCGUGGGGAGCAAACAGGAUUAGAUACCCGAGUAGUCC